GUGCCAGCCGCCGCGGUAAUACGGAGGGUGCAAGCGUUAUUCGGAAUCACUGGGCGUAAAGGACGCGUAGGCGGGUUGGAAAGUCAGAUGUGAAAGCCUACAGCUUAACUGUAGAACUGCAUUUGAAACUCUCAACCUAGAGUAUGGGAGGGGGAGAUGGAAUUAGUGGUGUAGGGGUAAAAUCCGUAGAUAUCACUAGGAAUACCUAAAGCGAAGGCGAUCUCCUGGAACAUUACUGACGCUAAGGCGUGAAAGCGUGGGGAGCAAACGGGAUUAGAUACCCCGGUAGUCCACGCCCUAAACGAUGAACACUAGUCGUCGAGAUGCUAGUCAUCUCGGUGAUGCACUUAACAGAUUAAGUGUUCCGCCUGGGGAGUACGGUCGCAAGAUUAAAACUCAAAGGAAUAGACGGGGACCCGCACAAGUGGUGGAGCAUGUGGUUUAAUUCGAAGAUACGCGAAGAACCUUACCUAGCCUUGACAUUGAUAGAACAUUUUAGAGAUAAGAUGGUGCCCUUCGGGGAGCUUGAAAACAGGUGCUACACGGCUGUCGUCAGCUCGUGUCGUGAGAUGUUGGGUUAAGUCCCGCAACGAGCGCAACCCUCGUCCUUAGUUGCCAGCAGUUCGGCUGGGCACUUUAAGGAGACUGCCUUCGCAAGGAGGAGGAAGGUGAGGACGACGUCAAGUCAUCAUGGCCCUUAUGGCUAGGGCUACACACGUGCUACAAUGGGGCGUACAGAGAGUUGCGAUACCGCGAGGUGGAGCCAAUCUCAUAAAGCGUCUCUCAGUUCGGAUAGCAGUCUGCAACUCGACUGCUUGAAGCUGGAAUCACUAGUAAUCGUAGAUCAGCAAUGCUACGGUGAAUACGUUCCCGGGUCUUGUACUCACCGCCCGUCACACCAUGGGAGUUGAUUUCACCCGAAAUUGGGAAGCUAACCUUCGGGGGGCUACCACUUACGGUGGAAUUAGCGACUGGGGUGAAGUCGUAACAAGGUAGCC
rnacentral:rRNA from 1 species